rnacentral:rRNA from 1 species
UGCCAGCAGCCGCGGUAAUACGAAGGGCCCAAGCGUUACUCGGAAUCACUGGGCUUAAAGCGUACGCAGGCGGAUAUGCAGGCAUCGUGUGAAAUCCCUCCGCUCAACGGAGGAACUGCACGGUGAACCGCAUGUCUUGAGACGAGUAGGGGCAAUCGGAACGCUAGGUGGAGUGGUGAAAUGCGUUGAUAUCUAGCGGAACGCCAAAGGAGAAAUCAGAUUGCUGGGCUCGUUCUGACGCUGAGGUACGAAAGCGUGGGGAGCGAACGGGAUUAGAUA